CCAAAGAUGGGGAAAAGGGUGUCUCCAAUUGAAGCAUAAAAAAGGGGAAAAGACAGAAAAAAAAAAGCAGAGAUUCGGUUCAUUACAACCCAGCAGGGACAGUGAGUGAGGGGAGAUCUCAUUACCACGCCCUACGCCCUAGAGGGAACUUGACGAUUAUUCACCUCCAGAAUCCAUUUUCAUUGCCACUCUCCUUGCACUUACAAGAGGAAAAAACCAGUGCCCUCUGUGAGCUGAUAUCCCUCAUACACCCCAUUAUUAUCAUCAACCUUCUAUUUGGGUUGAGCAGCCGUGGGCGUGAAGGUGUCAGUGGCGGCUGGCUUCAUCGGUGACGGUGAGGGCGUGUCACAGGAAUAGGGGUUUUUACCCUCUAACGCAGAAAGGAGAAGAUGACCUUGACGCGGCGACCGGCGGCCGGAUUCGCUCAAGCGGCGGCCGUUGUCGUUCACGAACAACCUCGCGCGCGAAGAAGAGAAGGAGGGAGAGAUCGGAACGGUCGCCACCAACGACCUUGACGGUGAUCAGCGACGCCAGCGCGGCCUUGGCUCGCGGAUUGUGGUCGUCGGCUUCGUCGACGGCGGCAGUGUGCGUGAGUGGCGGAAGUGAGUCCUCUCUGGGGUUUCUCGGGGAAGACACUUUCGUCUCAUUUGAGAGUGAAAUGACAGAAUGAGACGGGGGAGCAGAACCCCUAAUUUUCUGCUUAGGAGUCUUGGACCAGGUUGUUGGGCUCCAUUGUUUUUUUCUUUUUAAAAUAAAAAACCCUAUUCUCCUUUGCACACCCUUCACGCACCCCAUUCCCUUUUACUCAGUUUGGACCUCGAGUCCCUUUCCCCUUUCCACCUCUGUUUCCCAUCCUGGCACUCUGUAUUUCCUUUUUUUUUUUCUUAGUUGGGCCUCGAGCCCAUAGCAGCUUUGGUACUCUUUUUUUCUCUCUACAUAGUCGUUAUUUUUUUUGUU